CCAUUUGGGGUCAGCUUUCGCUUACGGCCAUACCACUCUGAAAAAGCCUGAUCUCAUCUGACCUUGGAAGCAAAGCAGAGUUGGGCCUGGUUAGUACUUGGUUGGGAGACUGAAUGGGAAUACUAGGUGCUGUAAGCUUUUUAUUUGGAUCAGUUUUUCAUGGCCUCUGCACAACAUCCUGUUUUGGGAUAAAGGUUGGACACAGGUUUGAAGGGGACCCAAUCAAUCAAUCAAUCAAUCAAUCAAUCAGUCAGUCAGUCAGUCUUUUGAUUACACUAUUUAAAUAGCCCCCAUUUGGGGUCAGCUUUCGCUUACGGCCAUACCACUCUGAAAAAGCCUGAUCUCAUCUGACCUCGGAAGCAAAGCAGAGUUGGGCCUGGUUAGUACUAGGUUGGGAGACUGAAGGGGAAUACUAGGUGCUGUAAGCUUUUUACUUGGAUCAGUGUUUUCAUGGCCUCUGCACAACAUCCUGUUUUGGGAUAAAGGUUGGACACAGGUUUGAAGGGGACCCAAUCAAUCAAUCAAUCAAUCAGUCAGUCAGUCAGUCAGUCAGUCUUUUGAUUACACUAUUUAAAUAGGCCCCAUUUGGGGUCAGCUGUCGCUUACGGCCAUACCACUCUGAAAAAGCCUGAUCUCAUCUGACCUCGGAAGCAAAGCAGAGUUGGGCCUGGUUAGUACUUGGUUGGGAGACUGAAUGGGAAUACUAGGUGCUGUAAGCUUUUUAUUUGGAUCAGUUUUUCAUGGCCUCUGCACAACAUCCUGUUUUGGGAUAAAGGUUGGACACAGGUUUGAAGGGGACCCAAUCAACUAAUCAGUCAGUCAGUCAGUCAGUCAGUCAGUCAGUCUUUUGAUUACACUAUUUAAAUAGCCCCCAUUUGGGGUCAGCUUUCGCUUACGGCCAUACCACUCUGACAAAGCCUGAUCUCAUCUGACCUCGGAAGCAAAGCAGAGUUGGGCCUGGUUAGUACUUGGUUGGGAGACUGAAUGGGAAUACUAGGUGCUGUAAGCUUUUUAUUUGGAUCAGUUUUUCAUGGCCUCUGCACAACAUCCUGUUUUGGGAUAAAGGUUGGACACAGGUUUGAAGGGGACCCAAUCAAUCAAUCAAUCAAUCAGUCAGUCAGUCAGUCAGUCUUUUGAUUACACUAUUUAAAUAGCCCCCAUUUGGGGUCAGCUUUCGCUUACGGCCAUACCACUCUGAAAA
ensembl:lncRNA